rnacentral:lncRNA from 1 species
CGCCGAGUUCUCGCGGCCGCAAAGCUGUGGCGCGGAGUCCGCGGGGCGGCGCCGGAGACGGAGGGAAGUGAUAACACCGAGCCCGGCGAACCCACGUGUUGUGCGACUGGAAACUUAAAACAGCCAGGGGGAGGAGGUCGCACGGAGAAGACGCAGUUCGAGUCUGGCUCUUGGAAGUCUUCGGUACACAGAGGGCCCGGAGCUUAAAGCUCAUUAGCUUCACAUGCAAACUGCUGCUGCAGCCCUCCUAGGAUUGUUGUGAGGAUUCACGAGGUGAGCCCUGAGAGCCCUGCCCCGUGCCUGGCUCGCACCAAAGGCGCUGUGUAGAGGAUUCAGGUCCCUGGGACCGGUCGGAGGGACCCGGGAAAUGCAGAAAUCACAUUGACUGCAACUAUGGGCCAGGUGUUUGAAACGCCCAGUGUGCUUAAUUUACCCACAAACAUGUGCACGUAUGCGAGAGCAUUCUGCCCGUGUCAUAGCUCCAAAAAAUAAGGCUCGGAGAAGUCGUGUAACUUGCUCAGUCUCACAAAAUUCUGCCAUAUUACAAUUCUGCCAUAUUACAGGUUUUUCCACAGUUACAUGUCACAAAUAAUAUGUAAAUUAUUACUAUGACUUCUUGUUGGGACAACAGAAGAAAUUCCCCACGAGAGAACAAAGUGCCUCAGAAAAACCUACUCACGAAUUUUCCCUGCAAAACUUCCCCACUUCAGAACCAAAGCAAAUGAAAUGUUUUUCUGCAGGUGAAGUACCUUGCUGCAAAAUCAAGAAACGGCUUUACUCAAGUGUAUGCAGGUCAUACAUUCAUUUUCUCUGCUAGCACGAAAACCAGAACUUUUUAAAAAGAGGACAUAUCAUUUGAUCCUCAUAUCAAAAUUGAUGAAGGAGAUAGUACCGUGACACAUCGUAAAGGACAGAAUUAUGGAGCAGACCACAGUGGCUUUUGCUGUUUCAGGGCGAAGCGACAUAGUGACUCUGAGGGACCGAGAAGGCGGGCACCCCGAGGACGACAUGUGUGUACAGUGCCCGGAAGGAAGAUGCAGGACACGCGGGAUCUGGAAGAAACGUCGGUCGGCCUUGAGAGAAAAAACCAAUUAAAUGAGGAAAC